GAGAGUUUGAUCAUGGCUCAGAUUGAACGCUGGCGGCAUGCCUUACACAUGCAAGUCGAACGGUAACGGGCCUUCGGGUGCCGACGAGUGGCGAACGGGUGAGUAAUGCAUCGGAACGUACCUUUCAGUGGGGGAUAACGUAGCGAAAGUUACGCUAAUACCGCAUAUUCUGUGAGCAGGAAAGCAGGGGAUCGCAAGACCUUGCGCUGAUUGAGCGGCCGAUGUCAGAUUAGCUAGUUGGUGAGGUAAAGGCUCACCAAGGCGACGAUCUGUAGCGGGUCUGAGAGGAUGAUCCGCCACACUGGAACUGAGACACGGUCCAGACUCCUACGGGAGGCAGCAGUGGGGAAUUUUGGACAAUGGGGGCAACCCUGAUCCAGCCAUGCCGCGUGAGUGAAGAAGGCCUUCGGGUUGUAAAGCUCUUUCGGCCGGGAAGAAAUCGCAUGGGUUAAUACCCUGUGCGGAUGACGGUACCGGCAUAAGAAGCACCGGCUAACUACGUG
rnacentral:rRNA from 1 species